CCCAAUUCUCAACAUACUAUGAUCAAACAUGCUGAGUACAUCGAGGUUCGAGAUCGCUUAGCCGGUUCGAUCAAACCAAUCUUACGCUCUCAGGCUCGAAUUGCGUUUCAAGUAUGAGCCCUGGACUUAUGUUCGUUAGACAACAUGUUGCUAAGCCGCACAGUGGGGAAAAAUCUUUAAAUUCAAGUAAAAAGGAUUACUUAUUAAAACAAUAAAUUAGUCUUAAUAUCCCAUUAAAUAAUUUUUUUAUAUUUAUGGUAUGAUUAAAAUUAUUACUCAAAAAAGUUUUCAAAAAAGAA